rnacentral:rRNA from 1 species
ACGAACGCUGGCGGCGUGCUUAACACAUGCAAGUCGAACGGAAAGGCCCCUUUGGGGGUACUCGAGUGGCGAACGGGUGAGUAACACGUGAGUAACCUGCCCUUGACUUCGGGAUAACUUCAGGAAACUGGGGCUAAUACCGGAUAGGAAUCCUUGCUGCAUGGUGGGGGUUGGAAAGCUUCGGCGGUUUUGGAUGGACUCGCGGCUUAUCAGCUUGUUGGUGGGGUAGUGGCUUACCAAGGCUUUGACGGGUAGCCGGCCUGAGAGGGCGACCGGCCACAUUGGGACUGAGAUACGGCCCAGACUCCUACGGGAGGCAGCAGUGGGGAAUAUUGCACAAUGGGCGGAAGCCUGAUGCAGCAACGCCGCGGGCGGGAUGACGGCCUUCGGGUUGGAAACCGCUUUCAGCAGGGGCGAAGCUUGUGGUGACGGUACCUGCAGAAGAAGCACCGGCUAACUACGUG